rnacentral:pre_miRNA from 1 species
UAUGUACCCCCUCCAUUCUGUAUUACUUGUCGCACAUAUGGAUGUAUCUAGAUGUAUUUUAAUUCUAGAUACAUCCAUUUCAGCGGCGAGUAAUUUGGAACAGAGGGAGUAUAUG